GAGACAGCAGUCGCCGCGGUAAUACAGAGGGUGCAAGCGUUAAUCGGAUUUACUGGGCGUAAAGGGCGCGUAGGUGGUUAUGUAAGUGAGAUGUGAAAUCCCCGGGCUCAACCUGGGAACUGCAUCUUAUACUGCGUAGCUGGAGUGCAGUAGAGGGUAGUGGAAUUUCCGGUGUAGCGGUGAAAUGCGUAGAUAUCGGAAGGAACACCAGUGGCGAAGGCGGCUACCUGGACUGACACUGACACUGAGGCGCGAAAGCGUGGGGAGCAAACAGGAUUAGAUACCCGAGUAGUCCCUGUCUCUUAUAC
rnacentral:rRNA from 1 species